UCCUCCGCAGUCCUCGCCUCCCCUCCGUCCUCUUUUCCUUCUCCUUCUCCCUUUCUUCCCCGCCCCGUCCUCCCAGGCGCUCCCGGACCGCGAGCAGCCGCACGGAGACCGCGGCCCCGGCUCCUGCUCCAGGUGGAUGCAGUGCCACUGAGCUAAAUCCCUGGCCCACUUUGGUCUAAAUUUUAAGAAGUCACUACAUUGCAGUGGAAG
rnacentral:lncRNA from 1 species